rnacentral:rRNA from 1 species
UAGGGAAUCUUGGACAAUGGGCGAAAGCCUGAUCCAGCCAUGCCGCGUGAGUGAUGAAGGCCUUAGGGUUGUAAAGCUCUUUCGCCAGGGAAGAUAAUGACGGUACCUGGAUAAGAAGCCCCGGCUAACUUCGUGCCAGCAGCCGCGGUAAUACGAAGGGGGCUAGCGUUGUUCGGAAUUACUGGGCGUAAAGCGCACGUAGGCGGCUUUCCAAGUUGGAGGUGAAAUCCCCGGGCUUAACCCGGGAACUGCCUCCAAAACUGAAAGGCUAGAGUCCGAGAGAUGUGAGUGGAAUUUCCAGUGUAGAGGUGAAAUUCGUAGAUAUUGGAAAGAACACGAGUGGCGAAGGCGGCUCACUGGCUCGGUACUGACGCUGAGGUGCGACAGCGUGGGGAGCAAAC